ACUAAGCGACAGUUCCUUACCGGUCCGAAAGGUAGUUACGUCAACACUUGACUGACAUCAGUUCCAGACUCCUACGGAGAGGCACGCAGUGGGAAUCUGGACUCAAUGGCGGCUCAAAGCCUGAUGCCAGCCUGCGCGGUGGUGAGAAGAAGGCCUUUCGGGUUGUAAAGCACUUUCAGUCGUGAGGAAGGUGGGGUAGUUAAUGCUGCAUAUUUGACGUAGGGACGGAUGAAGCACCGGGCUAACUCCUGCCAGCAGCCGCGGUAAUACGGAGGGUGCGAGCGUUAAUCGGAAAUUACUGGGCGUAAAGCGCAUGCAGGUGGGUUUGUUAAGUCAGAUGUGAAAGCCCGGGGCUCAACCUCGGGAAUAGCAUUUGAAACUGGCAGACUAGAGUACUGUAGAGGGGGGUAGAAUCUCAGGUGUAGCGGUGAAAUGCGUAGAGAUCUGAAGGAAUACCGGUGGCGAAGGCGGCCCCCUGGACAGAUACUGACACUCAGAUGCGAAAGCGUGGGGAGCAAACAGGAUUAGAUACCCUGGUAGUCCACGCCGUAAACGAUGUCUACUUGGAGGUUGUGGCCUUGAGCCGUGGCUUUCGGAGCUAACGCGUUAAGUAGACCGCCUGGGGAGUACGGUCGCAAGAUUAAAACUCAAAUGAAUUGACGGGGGCCCGCACAAGCGGUGGAGCAUGUGGUUUAAUUCGAUGCAACGCGAAGAACCUUACCUACUCUUGACAUCCAGAGAACUUUCCAGAGAUGGAUUGGUGCCUUCGGGAACUCUGAGACAGGUGCUGCAUGGCUGUCGUCAGCUCGUGUUGUGAAAUGUUGGGUUAAGUCCCGCAACGAGCGCAACCCUUAUCCUUGUUUGCCAGCGAGUAAUGUCGGGAACUCCAGGGAGACUGCCGGUGAUAAACCGGAGGAAGGUGGGGACGACGUCAAGUCAUCAUGGCCCUUACGAGUAGGGCUACACACGUGCUACAAUGGCGCAUACAGAGGGCGGCCAACUUGCGAAAGUGAGCGAAUCCCAAAAAAUGUGUCGUAGUCCGGAUGUGAGUCUGCAACUCAACUUGGUGCGAAGGUUUCCAUAG
rnacentral:rRNA from 1 species